GAGUGGAGAGAGCUUCAAGUAGAGGUGAUAAGCCUACCGAGCACAGUUAUAGCUGGUUGCCUGAGAAAUGAAUAGGAGUUCAGCCCUUUAAAUUUCCCUCAUCCCGCAAGUUAUUACAUAAUUUGAUAAAGGAAAUUAAAGGAGUUAAUCAAAAGGGGCACAGCUCUUUUGAUAAAAGAAACAACUUUAACAGGUGAUUCAAGAUCAUAUUAUUUAAAGGAUUUUAACCUAAGUGGGCCUAAAAGCAGCCAUCUAAUAGAAAGCGUUAAAGCUCAAAUUAACCCCCAUCCUGAUAUCUCGAUAAAAAAUCUUCCUCCCUGCUAAUCUACCAGGCUGUCUUAUGCUUUCAUAAGAACAAUAAUGCUAAAAUGAGUAAUAAGAAGAACCAAAAUUCUUCUCCUUGCACGUGUGUACGUUGGAACGGACCACCCACCAACAAUUAUUCGACCCCAAACCAAGAGGGCCAUAAAUUACUUAGACAAGAAAACUAUUUAAUAUUAAUCGUUAACCCCACACAGGAGUGCCCAAAGGAAAGACUAAAAGAGAAGGAAGGAACUCGGCAAACACAAGCCUCGCCUGUUUACCAAAAACAUCGCCUCUUGCUAUAUAGAGUAUAAGAGGUCCCGCCUGCCCUGUGACAAAAGUUUAACGGCCGCGGUAUUCUAACCGUGCGAAGGUAGCGUAAUCACUUGUUUUUUAAAUGGAGACCAGUAUGAAUGGCAUCACGAGGGCUUGACUGUCUCCCUUCUUUAGUCAAUGAAAUUGACCUUCCCGUGCAGAGGCGGGAAUAAAUAUAUAAGACGAGAAGACCCUGUGGAGCUUUAGACCUAAAAUAAAUCACAUUUAACAUGCUAAAAUAACAGUAAAAAUCUAGUGAAAAUUAUUGAAGUGUCUUUGGUUGGGGCGACCAUGGGGUAAAACACAACCCCCAUACGGACUGGGGAUACAAUCCCUAACACCCAGAGCCUCCGCUCCAAGUAACAGAAUUUCUGACCUUACGAUCCGGUUACCCGAUUAACGAACCGAGUUACCCCAGGGAUAACAGCGCAAUCCCCUCCCAAAGCCCUUAUCGACGAGGGGGUUU
rnacentral:rRNA from 1 species